GACGAACGCUGGCGGCGUGCUUAACACAUGCAAGUCGAACGCUGAAGACCUGGCUUUUGUUGGGUUGGAUGAGUGGCGAACGGGUGAGUAACACGUGAGUAACCUGCCCUCUUCUUUGGGAUAACGCCCGGAAACGGGUGCUAAUACUGGAUAUUCACUGAUCUUCGCAUGGGGGUUGGUGGAAAGGUUUGUUCUGGUGGGGGAUGGGCUCGCGGCCUAUCAGCUUGUUGGUGGGGUGAUGGCCUACCAAGGCUUUGACGGGUAGCCGGCCUGAGAGGGUGACCGGUCACAUUGGGACUGAGAUACGGCCCAGACUCCUACGGGAGGCAGCAGUGGGGAAUAGUGCACAAUGGGCGAAAGCCUGAUGCAGCGACGCGGCGUGAGGGAUGGAGGCCUGCGGGUUGUAAACCUCUUUCGCUCAUGGUCAAGCCGCAACUGUGGGUUGUGGUGAGGGUAGUGGGUAAAGAAGCGCCGGCUAACUACGUG
rnacentral:rRNA from 1 species